UAAUUGGUAAGGUACUAUGCAACUCGUGACUUAAAGGAUAAGGUCGGUAAUAAUGCAGAGGGGGUAGUAGGCGUGGCAUAGGAAAGGAGUCGGGUGGCGGCUGUUGCGAAGGGGUGAGUGCCGAGGAGAGACCGGCAUGUAGAAUGGUCGGAGAUGCUGGAGGAGUGCGGCGUAACCCAUCUGAUCUCGGACGGCGUACGCGGUGGAGCGCAGGGAAUUGAUCUUGGGAAAGUUAGUCAUUUUAUUGAUCUUGAAAAUGUGAUUAGUUGCAUACUUACAGAUAAAUAUCAACAACAUCUAUAAACGGUAAAUGAGUAGCAGGAUUUAUAAAACAACUGGUGUAUGUAUCUAUUCCAAUAAUUAAAAACAAUUUCACAACAUAAGAUACAUAAGAAAUUCCUAGGUAGACUUUGACGUUGAUCAAAACCCCAUCCCGCACCAAAAAGACCACUUCCUUAGAUACCCGCCUAACCCCCUUCUGCUCUAAAGAAGAUUACUCCGGGUCUGAAAUCGAGUCAGAGUCCUACGUACCAAAGUAGAAUGUCAGGUUACUAAUGGUGAAACUAGUUGAAGACAAUAAAAAAUCAAGCAGGAAGGAUAGUCCUAAGAAAACCUUCAAUCCGGUUACUCCGGCGAAAUCCGUCUCCGCAAAAGGCACUGCUAAAGAAACGGCUACUAACGCCUCGAAGAAGUCGAAGAUGACGUUGCCGAGCCGGAGAUUGCCGAGAAAAAGCUUGACGUCAAUGAGGAAUGCUACGUUGUUGAUCCUGCCAGUACUCAUGUGCGCGUCUCAAAGAUUAAACCAUGCAAGUGUAAUUAUGAACUAAUUCACUGUGAAUACCUCAUUAAAUCUGUUAUAGAUUGUUUGAUGGUAUCUACUACUCUUGAGCUAGGAGGACGUGAUUAUCAUAUUGAGAGGGAUGACUGAAUACCAGUCAAAUGUUGGUCCAAUUGCGCAUCUAGAAUAAUUUCAUAACUAUAUCUUGAAAAGUCUGCAUAUCGAUGUGACGAGGACCCAACUGCAAGACAAGACUAGGAGGCUUAAGAGAAAGUAUAGGAACAUAAAAGCAAAGAGAAUAAUAGGAAAUAGAGGAUCUUCUUGAAGCCCAACGAGAAGAUGGCCUACGAUCUGUCGAAAAUGAUAUAGAAAAAUGAAGGCAAUGAGGUUGUCGCAAGAUAAGAGUGGGACACGUGGGAGGAAGUAUGAUAACAUAAAGAGCAAAGAGAAUGAUGGGAAAGAGUGGACCUUUUGAAGGCCCAUGAGUAGAUGACUUACGAUCCGUCGAAAAUGAUAUGGGAAGGUGGUUGUGAAACUAAUGGGAAGUCCGAGAACUAAUGAUAGUGUGGUGACGAGAGUUGUAGGUAAGAAUGAAAGUGAAGAACUGAAGAGUGUGGAAGGGGAUGAGAAGAUGCUGACCUUUUUAGGCCUUGGGCGUUGAUGGAGGAGAGAGUGUGCAUCUAAGGGUAAGAUGUGUUUGAAGUGAGAAAGGAGGUGGAUGGCGAGAUUAAAUGUUAUAAACUGAAAGUGGAUAAGCUGAAGUUUCUCAUCUAACGAUUGGAGUUGAAAGUAACGUACACGCAACUUAUUUUGGGAGCUAUAGAGGGCAAGUAUCAGUAAGCCUACAUUAGACACCAACCUACAAUGCUUAGACACAAAAUAAAUGGCAAUUAAAAAACAUAGGCUUACUAAUACUUGCCCUCCAUAGCUCCCAAAAAAGCUUUGUUUGCGUUAGUUUCACCUCGAAUUGUCUGAUGCGAACCUUCAGCUCAUCCAUUUUCAGCUUAUAACUUCCGAUCUCGCCAUCCAGCCCUUUUUCCCACUUCAAACAAGUCUUAUCGAUAGAUGCACACUCUCACCUCCAUCGUCACCCAGAGCCUAAAAAGGCUCAUCCUCUUCCGUACUCUUCACAUCUUUAGUUUCCUUCUUGCUUACAAUUCUCCUCACCACACAAUCGUUAGUUCUCAGACUUCCCAUCAGUUUUGACAACCACCUUCUCUUCUCCCCCCAUAUCACUUUUGACAGAUCAUAAGCCUUUUGCUCAUGGGCUUCGAAAAGUUCCUCUCUAUUCCAUCCUUCUCUUUUCUCUUUAUGUUCUCAUACUUUCUCUUAAGUAUCCUAAACUUGUCCUGCGACAACCCCAUUUCCUUCAUUUCCCUAUAUCGUUUUUGACCGAUGACAAGCCAUCUUUUCGUGAGGCUUCAAGACUGUCAUCUAUUUCCUAUUAUUAUUCUCUUUGUGCUUUAUAUUCUCAUACUCCCUCUUAAGCCUCCUAACUUUGUCUUGCAGUUGAGCCCUCGUCACAUUGAUAGGCAAACAUUUCUAGACAAAAUUGUGAAAUUGUUUUAGAUGCGCAAUUGGACCAAAAUUAUACUUUGACUGGUAUUCAAUCUUCACUUCCAAGAUGAUGAUCUCAUCCUCCUAGCUUAAGAGUAGCAAGUACCAUAAAACAAACUACAACUGAUUUAAUGAGGAUUCACAGUCUGAAUUAGUUAUUACUUACAAAAGUGCUUGGCUUAAUCAUUGGUACGAGCACAUGAGUACUGGUGGAAUCAACUAGGUAGCAUUCCUUAUCGACGUUAGACUUUUUCUUGGCAAUCUCCAGCUCGGCGGGGGUCUUCUUCGACUUCUUCGAGUCAUUAGUAGUCGUGUCUUUAACAUGGCCUUUUGCGGCGGCAGAUUUCGCCGGAGUAACGGGAUAGGAGGCUGGCUUGGGUCAAUCCUUCUUUCUUGAUUUAUAAUUUUCUUCAAUUGGUUUCGCCACUACUGGCCCAACAUUCGAAUUUGGUGAGUCAUACUUCGACUCGGUUUCAGAUCCGAAAUAAUCUUUUUUCGUGGAAGAUGGGGGUUUGGCUGGCAUCUAGAUCAGUGUGAGGUCCAGAUCGGUGUCGAAGUCUUCCUUGGAGGAGCCUCUCUCAUCUUCUUCCCCGGUUUUCGAUUGAGACUCCUCCACUGUCUUUGCUUACUCAUCAUUUCAAGCUAUUUUUUUUUUCCAAAGAGACAGAAACUAUGGUUAAGGGGUUGUAAGAGACAGUUGUGUAUCUAAUGUUGUGCAAUUUCUUUUAUUUAGUGGAAUAGAUACAUGCGUAGUUACCGCGUCGCGUCGUUUAAUAAAUUCCACCACUCCUUUAUAGUUUAUUGACAUUGUUUAUAUUUAUUUUUUAA